rnacentral:rRNA from 1 species
GAGGGGCUCGCGGCCUAUCAGCUAGUUGGUGGGGUAACGGCCCACCAAGGCGAUGACGGGUAGCUGGUCUGAGAGGACGACCAGCCACACGGGGACUGAGACACGGCCCCGACUCCUACGGGAGGCAGCAGUGGGGAAUUUUCCGCAAUGGGCGAAAGCCUGACGGAGUGACGCCGCGUGGGGGACGAAGGCCUUCGGGUCGUAAACCCCUGUCAGAGGGAAAGAAGGCUGUCGGCGUGAAUAGCGCCGGCAGUUGACGGUACCUUCAGAGGAAGCCCCGGCCAACUCUGUGCCAGCAGCCGCGGUAAGACAGAGGGGGCAAGCGUUGCUCGGAAUUACUGGGCGUAAAGGGCGUGUAGGCGGGAUGGCAAGUCGGGCGUGAAAGCCUUCGGCUCAACCGAAGAAGGGCGUCCGAUACUGCUGUUCUUGAGGAUUGGAGAGGAGACUGGAAUUCCCGGUGUAGCGGUGAAAUGUGUAGAGAUCGGGAGG